rnacentral:rRNA from 1 species
GGUAAAGGUGGCGCGACGGGUGAGUAACACGUGGAUAACCUACCCUUGAGCGAGGGGAUAACACGUCCCGAAAGGGGUGCUAAUACCGCAUAAGACCACGGCUACCGAAAGGAGCUGAAGGUAAAAGCUGGCCUCUAUAUAUAAGCUAGCACUUGAGGACGGGUCCGCGGCGCAUCAGGUAGUUGGCGGGGUAAUGGCCCACCAAGCCUUAGACGCGUAGCUGGUCUGAGAGGAUGAUCAGCCACACUGGAACUGAGACACGGUCCAGACUCCGUACGGGAGGCAGCAGGUGGGGAAUCUUGCGCAAUGGACGAAAGUCUGACGCAGCGACGCCGCGUGUGUGAUGAAGGCCUUCGGGUCGUAAAGCACUGUGGGGAGAGAAGAAUAAGCAAAGGCCAAUACCCUUUGUGAUGACGGUAUCUCCUUAGCAAGCACCGGCUAACUCUGUG